AUCAAGCUGGAAGGAUGUUAUACUGCAGAUGAGAAAUGCUUGAGACAAAAUAAGGUGACACGUUUACCAUCUACAACAUCACAGUCAUCAGAUCCCAACUCUUCCUCAGAUGACGUACUCAUUGGUGUAAUUAUCCCUGUAAUUAUCAUCUUCAUCGCCGUCGUUAUAGCUACAUUAGUUGCCCGGAAAUUUAGAGUUUCAAAAUGUUCUGAAAGGUACCAUGAAGAUGAAGAAAUUGGGCUUUUGGAAACUGCCCCAACUCUUAAGAUACAAAUAGCUGGAGAAAACAUUGUGUUGAGAUGUAUACUUCCCAAAGACAAGAGAAGACGUCCCUCAAAUAUUAUUUGGUCUAAAGAUAAAAAGGAAAUAGAAAUAAAAGACACAAGAGGAAAAUUCAGAUUUGCUGAAGAUAAACUUAACCUUGUUAUUGAAAAUGCAGGUCAUUUAGAUAUUGGAGAGUACGCCUGCUGUCUCCAAUAUGACAACCACUGCGAUAGGGUUGUUAAAUGCAGUCUAGGUAAUUUCU